rfam:Danio rerio chromosome 4, GRCz11 reference primary assembly.
GCAUUAAUGGUUCAGUGGUAGAAAUCUCGCCUCCCACGCGGAAGACCCAGGUCCGAUUCCUGGCCAAUGCA